GAUGAACGCUGGCGGCGUGCCUAAUACAUGCAAGUCGAGCGAACAGACGAGGAACUUUCUUCUCGGACGGUGGCGGCGGAAGUGUGGGUAAGACGUGGAUAAACUCCCGAUGAGACUGGGAUAACUUCGGUAAACCGUACCUAAUACCGGAUAUUAUAGUGAACGGCAUGGCUCAAUACCUAAAGAGAGUUUUGCUGUCGCUGAUAGAUCGAGUCGGUCAGCAUUAGCUAGUUCGCAAGGUAACGGCUUACAAAGGCAACUGUGCGUAGCCGACCGGAAGGGGUACUCGCCCACACUGGAACUGGGAAACGGUCAAGACUCCUACGGGAGGCAGCAGUGGGGAAUCUGCCGCAAUGGGCGAAAGCCUGACGGAGAAACGCGGCGGGAGUGAUGAAGGUCUUCGGAUCGUAAAACUCUGUUAUUAGAGCAGAAUAAAUGUGUAAGUAACCCUGCACGUAUUGACGGUACCUAAGCAUAAAGCCACGGCUACCUACGU
rnacentral:rRNA from 1 species